AAUGAGCGCUGGCGGCAUGCCUAACACAUGCAAGUCGAACGAAGGCUUCGGCCUUAGUGGCGCACGGGUGCGUAACGCGUGGGAAUCUGCCCCUUGGUUCGGAAUAACAGUUAGAAAUGACUGCUAAUACCGGAUGAUGACGUAAGUCCAAAGAUUUAUCGCCGAGGGAUGAGCCCGCGUAGGAUUAGCUAGUUGGUGUGGUAAGAGCGCACCAAGGCGACGAUCCUUAGCUGGUCUGAGAGGAUGAUCAGCCACACUGGGACUGAGACACGGCCCAGACUCCUACGGGAGGCAGCAGUGGGGAAUAUUGGACAAUGGGCGAAAGCCUGAUCCAGCAAUGCCGCGUGAGUGAUGAAGGCCUUAGGGUUGUAAAGCUCUUUUACCCGGGAUGAUAAUGACAGUACCGGGAGAAUAAGCUCCGGCUAACUCCGUG
rnacentral:rRNA from 1 species